AACGGGAUGCCUUGGAAAGCAUCGUUCUGCAGCAGGACUGCUCAACCGGCCAAUCAGAACACAGGGAACCAUGAAAGAGCCCCAGCUCUGUCCCUGUGUGAAUCUCAGGGCUGUUUCGAGGAUGAAAAGGAGGUGUUUAGCCCCGAGCCUCACGUGGAAACAUCUGAUGAGCCUUUGCCAAUAUGCUCGGGACCUGGGGACGGCUGGGGUGACCCCAUCGCAAGGCCGGGCCGUGGAAACAAUCUCAGCCCUGGAACCAGCGCCUGGGAAGUCCCGCGGUGGAUCCGCGUCACGGGGGAGGAUUGGCUCAGCACUGGUCCUGCGGAAUGUGUUUUUAUCAAUGACUUGACGACGUGAAAAACAUGUUUAUAAAACGAGCAGAUGGUGCCGAGCUGAGAGGGAGGUGACGCAGUGACUCAGGAACCACAAGCUCUGGAGGCUGAACGAGAAUCGGUUACAGGAGAUGAACACAAGGCUCGAUUCUCCUGUUAAACUUGACUGUCACCAACGGGGGGUGGGGGGUGCGCGAGGCCCUGGGCUCCACCGAAGACCUUAAGGAAAAGACUCUGGAUGUUAGUGGGUUCGGCCUCAGAAUCAGCCGGCGCUGAGAUGUGCACCUGGCAGGAUGAACGUAACUUCUGGUGGAUAAAGUGGGAGGCCUGAUCCAGGAAGAAGCACACCGUGGCCUGGGGCCCCUCUGGAGGGUAGGUCUUCCAAGUCACGGGAAACAGGGCGCCCAGGAGACGGUGAGCCCGGCUGCUGCCACCCCGAAGGCCAGGCUCGCCCCACACUGUGAGACCCUCCCCACACGAAGAUUCUGUAAGCGGAAUCGGAAGGAGGAUGUGAGAAGGACGGGUAGCCAUGCCACACCAGGCCAGACAUCUUACCAACCUAUCGGUUCAGUUUUAAGAAAGAGAGCAAAGAGGAUCUAAAAUCUGAACUUUGAGCAGCUGAACUGUGUGGAGUAUCAACGUGGCUCCUGACAACCCCACCGGCACUGUUUCUUUGCACUGGAGGUCCUGAAGAGCUCACGGAAGGUGCACUUGCAGUUGUAGUUCAGAGAUGAUGCUUUUAGACAAUCUUUCCCUUCGAGAAGUAGCCUAAUGAGAAGGACUCUGUAGAUCUCUUCCUAAAAAAGAAUCCUCAGUCUCUGGCAGAACAGCUGCCCAGAACAGCUUCUGCCUGUGAGGUAGCAAAGAAAAAGGCCCACACAGAAUUUGCUGGGAUAUUUUCUUUCCAACACCAACAAACCGACAGCCUUCCCAAAUCCUAGGGCAGAGUCGGCUGGCACUGAGAUCAAAAGGGGUGAAGGGAAGGCAGCCAGGCUGGGAGUCUCUCUCCAGCAACUUUCUUGGCGAGGUGACAUAUAUGCCCAGAACCUUUUUCUAUGGAAGGAAAAAGAAAACCCUGGCUUAAUCAUCAGAGUUAGGAGAAUCACCCACGUAUUCAUCUUUAAAAGCAAAUCAUGAUAACUUUUGGUCACUCAGAAGUAACCAAGGCAAAAUAUUCCUCUUAGGGGACUCUGUUUAGAGUUUUGGGAGAGAAAAAAAAAAAAACUAAACCAAAGGUUUAUUUAGAAAUAAAUUGUUUUCUGAGUAUUCUAAGGAAAGCUAUGCUUAGCCAAAGUGCUUCAGCCCUUGUACAUGUUUCAAAUACUUCUGUAGAAGUUUGAAAUGGACAUGGAUUUUCCCAACACACACGCACAAUCUCAGGUGAGCCCAAGACAGCCUAUGAGGAUGGCACUGGGGAGUCUGGAUUUCAGCUCUGACGGGCGGGCUCUAAACCCCAAAGUUCUUGUCGGCCAAGUGGGGGGGUUUCUUGUGAGGACCAGAGGUGGCACAUCCACGGGCAUGGGGGACGCUGGCUCACGAUGCCCCAGUGAUGCCGUGGUUAGGACACUGCUCACGCAGCUGCAGCGCAGAGCACGGGGGACGCUGGCUCACGAUGCCCCAGUGAUGCCGUGGUUAGGACGCCGUUCACGCAGCUGCAGCGCAGAGCACGGGGGACGCUGGCUCACGAUGCCCCAGUGAUGCUGUGGUUAGGACGCUGUUCACGCAGCUGCAGCGCAGAGCACGGGGGAUGCUGGCUCACGAUGCCCCAGUGAUGCCAUGGUUAGGAUGCUGCUCAAGCAGCUGCAGCGCAGGGCCAGUGUGGUGACCCUGACUCCUGGGAACGGUGAUCAGCUGGGCCUCUGCCUCACUGGACCACGCUGCAAGGCAAGGGCCUGGGAGAUGCCCACAGCCGCGCCUCUGGCUGUGAGGCAGCUGUGGUCCUCCAGCAGCAAUGCCCUCAGAAGCUGGGAGAUGUGAACCCCACAUGACUCUCCUCCUUGCUGUCUUCCUGUCCCUGAGCCUUCAGCUCUUCGUUGUCUCUGUCUUGUCUCUCUGCAUUGUUUGUCCUGGUUCUCUCUCUCUCUCUCGUUAUUACAACAUAGAGCCAAAAAUACUUUUUUGUUUAGGAUAUGGCACCAAAAUAGUAUCAUAUCCCUGUUCUUCAUCUGAAAUGCAGACAAGCGAAAUGCUGCAUAAUUCUUUUUUAAACAUUCAAAAAACAGAAAAUGCAUGUUAAGUUCUUUAAACUUCUGAGAUAAUACAACUAGACCUAGCAUGGUGCCAGCCAAGCAUUGCAUAAUGUGUGUUUCCUUCUCCUUUGGGGGCUCAUUCCGAUCAGGGUGCAUCUGGGAAGUCGGGCGACUGUGUCCAUCUCCUGGGUGGAAGAAUGACCCAGGGAAGUGCUCCAUGGGGAAGGCGGGGCAUGAGAGAAGGGAGGGGUGGUCCCGAGGACCCUUUCCAUAGACCUGGGAGUUCCCGGUGAGCACGCGGAAAGGACGCGGUGGGAGCGGCAGGUGCAGAGGGAGGACUUGAAGGUUCCAUCCCUAACAGAGGACAGCGUGGCCGAGUACUCAUGCUUCCAACCCUGCACAGAGGAUAGUGCAUGCCCAGCAUGCAGACUCGCUUCCAUCGCGACACAGAGGACAGCAUGGAGCCCAGCUCGAGUGCCGUCCCCCCACCAUGACAGCGCAGCAUGGGCCUUCCAAGCCACAGAGCCACAGGGAAGCCAGUCCUCCUGGACCGUGUGUGGCUGUUUUGGAGCCAGUUGUGUCCUGUGAAGAGCGCAGCGGCCGCAGGUGAGGCAGGAGUGAAGAUGGAGGAGGCGGCCAUCUCUCUGGGGCCUGGCAACAGCGAGAGCUUUUGCCAAGCCACUGUCUCCCGGAGGACAAGAUCUCCUUCCCAAAAGCAAGAUGGCCAAGAGUAUGGAGAAGAAAGUAGGUAAUACAAGUUUGCUCAGAAUAAACCUAUGUGUUCAUG
rnacentral:lncRNA from 1 species